UGUAAAAUACUUGUUCUUAUGUAUUGGUGUGGGACUCAGGUGCAGCUGUAUGGGGUUUUUUGGAGAAGGUGCCAUGACAUGCUGUAAGUUUCCUCCAAAGUGCUGUGACACUGCUCUGCUCGAGCAGCUCGCUGGGAUGGAUGGCGGCAGGGCUCGGCUGUAAGAGACUGUGGCAACCCCAAAAAAAAGAAAAUUUGGCCAAGAAAUGGAAAUGUGGAGCUUACAGAAGAGGAGACAACAGGCUGAGGGAUCUGAAGGCACUCCUGCUCCCUGCUGAAUUCACUUAGCAGGAUUGCUUAAUUGGAGGUGAUAAUACAGCAUUUUCUGAUCUGGCAGCAUCUAUGCUGUAGUGUACGAAAUUGGCUGAAAAGCUCAGGAGUAGCAGAGCAGCAGAUGAAAUACCCCAGCAAAGAGGACAGGGUGAGAACAAAGUUUAUUUCAUUAAGGAAAUGCAAGAACAAAGGAACAGAGCUUUUCAGAGCAAGCUCAUUAGAAACCCAGGCAAAUUAGUGGCAUUAUGGUUUAUUAAAUACCAUUCUGCCAAGGACAAAGAAACCUCGCAGCAGAAAGCACAGCAUAGUGACAGGAAAGCAUGAAGAGGAACUGCUUUCUUGUUUGAACCCUUCCCUUCCACAUAACUCCUGGUCUCAUAAAAACGAGGCCCUUUGUCUGAACACGAAUCCAGAAUGGAGCUGCCUGUGUUUGGCACCUGAAUGGGAACGUUCCAGCGUGUUCCAGGUCAUCGCGUGCGGUCGCAUCUUCAGCAGAACGUGACCGGUGGAAGUGUGGCCCCAGGGUCCGUGUGUGGGGACCAGGCUCACGUCCACUGAUGGAUUUUUUUUUUUUGAAAGCUACUUUGCAGCGUUACGUGUGUGCAUGCAUGGGACAUCACGGAGCUGCUGCAGGGCCGUGCUGUGCCAUCCUGCUCCCAGACAGGAGCUGUGAUUUCCCACUGUUCAUUCCUUGUGCCCGUGGCUCGCUGACAGCGCUGUGCUCCCCUUGAUGCCAAUGCAAAGUCAUUCUGUGCUACUGCCCUGAGUGCUGGCUGCGUGCUGGUGCUCUCAUGCACUGUCCCUCUGGGUGCUGCUCUGGCUGCCGAGCCACCAACCAAGGACACCACUGCAGGACUGGCUUUGCUGCUUCUGCUUUUGAGGAAUGCCAUAUCCCAGCUGUCACUUUGAUAUUGGAACCAAAGCAGUGUUUAUGCAUUUGAAUAAACAAGCAAUUAUUUGGAUCUGAUCUAGACUU
rnacentral:lncRNA from 1 species